CACAUUCACAACUUGUCUCCUCCUAUUUAUACACAAACCCCUCAAAAUCCCAAUUUCAGAAAACUCAAUAUAGUAUCAUCCACACUCAAAAACACCUGCAAAAAUUCACCCAAAUAAUGCAUCGAUUGAGAUUAAUGCUUUGUUACUUUCUUCUAUUCGUAAUUUCAGCAAACGCAGGGGAAUUUACAAUUACAACAUACCCAAGAAAAAUGAUGGUUGAAAGAGCCUUAUUGAUUGCAGAUCCGCCAGCUGUAAAGUCGUCGAUCGAAGAUGAAAAUGAACCCUCUUAUUCCAUUGUUGAAGCUCCAGAAACAGAGCAUCAUCAUUCUGACAAAUCUGUUGCUGGUGGAGGGGUUAUUAUUGGUGGACUUGUAACUGCUAUUUUUGCUACUGUUUAUUGCUAUAUUAGAGUUACUAGAAAGAAAUCAGAUGCACCAGAUCAUUAGAAGUACAAUUUUGUGAAUAG
rnacentral:misc_RNA from 1 species